AAUGAUCAAAUUAUGUUUCCCAUGCAUCAGGUGCAAUGGGAAGCUCUUCUGGAGAGUGAGAGAAGCUUCCAGUUAAGGUGACAUUGAAGCCAAGUCCUGAAAGAUGAGGAAGAGUUGUAUGAGAGUGGGGAGGGAAGGGGGAGGUGGAGGGAUGGGGAAUGGGCCGGGAUGGGAUAGCGCAAACUGCCCGGGAAGGGAAACCAGCACUGUACAGACCUGAACAACGAAGAUGGCAUAUUUUGUUCAGGGAAUGGUGAAUUAAGUGUGGCAGGAAUGCUUUGUAGACACAGUAAUUUGCUUGUAUGGAAUUUUGCCUGAGAGACCUCAUUCCUCACGUCGGCCAUUCCAGGCCCCGUUUUUCCCUUCCGGCAGCCUCUUGGCCUCUAAUUUGUUUAUCUUUUGUGUAUAAAUCCCAAAAUAUUGAAUUUUGGAAUAUUUCCACCAUUAUGUAAAUAUUUUGAUAGGUAA
rnacentral:lncRNA from 10 species